UACGAAGGGGGCUAGCGUUGCUCGGAAUCACUGGGCGUAAAGGGUGCGUAGGCGGGUCUUUUAAGUCAGGGGUGAAAUCCUGGAGCUCAACUCCAGAACUGCCUUUGAUACUGAGGAUCUUGAGUUCGGGAGAGGUGAGUGGAACUGCGAGUGUAGAGGUGAAAUUCGUAGAUAUUCGCAAGAACACCAGUGGCGAAGGCGGCUCACUGGCCCGAUACUGACGCUGAGGCACGAAAGCGUGGGGAGCAAACGGG
rnacentral:rRNA from 1 species